rnacentral:rRNA from 1 species
AUGCCGCAUCGAUGUGCCGCCGUCCUUCUCUGUGGGGACGGACUACGUCGACCUCCCAAGUACCGGGAGCGCCGCACCCGCGUCACCAACAUCCCCAACUUCCUCACCGACGACGUUGCCGGCCUCGCUAUCUUUGUGCCAAGGGAGACCGCGCAGGCUGACUGCUACAUGCACGCCGGCUUGUGGAAGGCAAGAGGAACUACACAGUCACCACGCUGGUUGUUGCUCCCAGAGCUCUUUCAGCUCCACCUUGGUCAGCACUUCAUUGUCCCUCUCUUCCUUGCCAGUGAAUCGAACAACCUCGCCGUUGUCUCUGAACCAGGACAACUUCUCCUCCCUACUCAAAGGAGAAGUUGGUCACUAACUGUCUUUUUCAGCGAAUCAAAACUUGCUGCAGAUGUGUCUCCACACAUAGAAAGAAACUAUGUUCUCAAAAUUCUAAUCCCGAGUAGUGUUGCAACAGGUCAAAGGAAGAAGUCUAACCUGAAGAAGUGCAGGGAAGAAUUACAACUGCAUGUGGUCGGCUGGUUCAGGGGACGUUCAGGGAGGGGCGGCCGCCCACUCGACGGUGCUGAUAAGGGCGGCGAGGGAGCCCGGAAGGUAGGCGUCGAUGCAGUGCAGGUCGACGACGAUCCGAUGCAGGGAUCAAGGUCGCCGUGUAGGGAGGCGUCGAUGCAGUGCAGGGUUGGCGAUGAAAGGCAGGGAGAGGGCGAGGACGCGAUUAGGUUGAGUUUUCUUUUUCGCGUGGUGGUUAGAUGGUUAGAUUAG